rnacentral:misc_RNA from 1 species
GAAAUGCGAUAAGUAAUGUGAAUUGCAGAAUUUAGUGAAUCAUCGAAUCUUUGAACGCACAUUGCGCCCCCCGGUAUUCCGAGGGGCAUGCCUGUUCGAGCGUCAGAACAUCCUCUCAAGCCUGGCUUGGUCUUGGGGCGCGCCGGUUCGGCGUCCCCUAAACAUAGUGGCGGUACCGUUGUGCUCUCCGCGUAGUCACGUAUCUCGCGACAGAGUGGCGAUGGGACCUGCCAAAACCCACAUAUUUCUUGGAUGACCUCGGAUCAGGUAGGGAUACCCGCUGAACUUAA